UAGGGAAUCUUCCACAAUGGGCGAAAGCCUGAUGGAGCAACGCCGCGUGUGGGAUGAAGGGUUUCGGCUCGUAAAACACUGUUGUAAGAGAAGAAUGACAUUGAGAGUAACUGUUCAAUGUGUGACGGUAUCUUACCAGAAAGGAACGGCUAAAUACGUGCCAG
rnacentral:rRNA from 1 species